GGAAUCUUAGACAAUGGGGGAAACCCUGAUCUAGCCAUGCCGCGUGGACGAUGAAGGCCUUAGGGUUGUAAAGUCCUUUCGCUGAGGAAGAUAAUGACGGUACUCAGUAAAGCAGCCCCGGCUAACUCCGUGCCAGCAGCAGCGGUAAUACGGAGGGGGCUAGCGUUGUUCGGAAUUACUGGGCCUAAAGCGCACGUAGGCGGACUAGAAAGUCAGAGGUGAAAUCCCAGGGCUCAACCUUGGAACUGCCUUUGAAACUCCUAGUCUAGAGUUCGAGAGAGGUGAGUGGAAUUCCGAGUGUAGAGGUGAAAUUCGUAGAUAUUCGGAGGAACACCAGUGGCGAAGGCGGCUCACUGGCUCGAUACUGACGCUGAGGUGCGAAAGCGUGGGGAGCAAAC
rnacentral:rRNA from 1 species